rnacentral:rRNA from 1 species
GAUGAACGCUGGCGGCGUGCUUAACACAUGCAAGUCGAACGAAGACAUCUGAGUGCUUGCACUUGGAUGGACUGAGUGGCGGACGGGUGAGUAACGCGUGGGUAACCUGCCUUAUACAGGGGGAUAACAGUUGGAAACGACUGCUAAUACCGCAUAAGCGCACGGUAUCGCAUGAUACAGUGUGAAAAACUCCGGUGGUAUAAGAUGGACUCGCGUCUGAUUAGCUUGUUGGUGAGGUAACGGCCCACCAAGGCAACGAUCGGUAGCCGGACUGAGAGGUUGAACGGCCACAUUGGGACUGAGACACGGCCCAGACUCCUACGGGAGCAGCAGUGGGGAAUAUUGCACAAUGGGGGAAACCCUGAUGCAGCGACGCCGCGUGGAGGAAGAAGGUCUUCGGAUUGUAAACUCCUGUUGUUGAGGAAGAUAAUGACGGUACUCAACAAGGAAGUGACGGCUAACGUACGUG